ACUGAGCGGCGGACGGGUGAGUAACGCGUGGGCAACCUGCCUUACACAGGGGGAUAACAGUUAGAAAUGACUGCUAAUACCGCAUAAGACCACAAAACCGCAUGGUUUGGUGGUAAAAACUCCGGUGGUGUAAGAUGGGCCCGCGUCUGAUUAGGUAGUUGGUGGGGUAACGGCCUACCAAGCCGACGAUCAGUAGCCGACCUGAGAGGGUGACCGGCCACAUUGGGACUGAGACACGGCCCAGACUCCUACGGAAGGCAGCAG
rnacentral:rRNA from 1 species